rnacentral:lncRNA from 1 species
GAUUUGUCUUGUUGCUUUCUAGUGGUGUCACUUAACUUGUUCCUCUAUCCCCUGUAUUUCCCAUGAACUGAAAGUUAGAUCCAAAGGCUGGGUUAGACUUAGGUUAAAUUUCUCACUGUCACUGUCUCUGUUUCUCUCUCUGUGUCUCUCUGUCUCCCCCUGCCCCCCUCUGCUUUUGGCAAGACUAGUUCCUAGGUGAUACUAUGUACUUUGUACUGCCUCAUGUUGGAAUGCACACAGUGUCUGCUUGUCUUGCUGUUAGCAGCACUAAGGUUGACCAAUGAGGUCAUGUGGGGACAACAAGAGCAGGUUUCUCAAAGCCAGUGUCUGUGAGGACUCAAAAGACAUUUUGCGGAUACAAAUGCUAAACCUCAGACCAGUCAGCAGAAAGAGAGAAAGAGAACAAGUGUGUGAACACGGGGAAACCAGUGGCUGUCUUUCUUUCCUUCUCCGUCCCCAUUGCUGUCUUCCUUUUUUCCUUUCUCCCUCCCUUCUCCUUUCUCCCGGUCCUUUCUCUCCCCUUCUCUCCUCCUUCCCUUUCUCCCGCAUAUCCUUUACUCCUACUCCCCUCCCCCAUUCCCCAUGCACACCCCUCCCUUUCCUUCACCCCUGCCCCGUGACCCUUUCCAC